AUGAGAAGUGACUAAGAAAGGGAGGUGGAUGGAGCUGGGAGAAGAGUUGGCGUUGCAUCUGUGGUUACCAGGGAAGGGAGAGAUGCUUUUCUCUCUGCUGCUAUUUCACAGUUCCCAAUUUCUCAGCAGUAAUAGCCAAGAGCAAGCCUGAUUUUUCUGUAUUCCAGUGUGCUGGGAAGCACAAUAGAGCUAAGGGUGUUUUUGCUGGUGGAGCAGACAUUUAGUUGCUAAUGGUUGUAGCUUGCCAUGCCUGUCAGUGUAGUUUUUUUUUUUUUUUCCUAGCUUAGUUUUAGGCUUCUCCCAAUUAAAAAAAAUGAGACAGAAUGAGUUUUCUGUGUGUAUGGGAACUUGGUUCAUCCAUAGGGAUCAAGAAUUAACUCUUGUGGUUUAGUCAAUUUGUUUUCUCUGGGAUGGUCCUGGGGAGAGUAAGAAUGAGCUUCUCAUUUCCCACUACCUUUGAAAACAGUCUCCCUACCCUCUGUGUUUAAUCUGCAUUGACUGAAUGUUAAUCAGGGUUUAUUGCCAGACAAGACAAAAGCAAAAAGCUGUUGAGAGGUGGGAAUUGCCCUAUUUUCUCUCAGAGGAGAGAAUACACUGUGUAUGGUGGCUUUUAACCUGGUAAGCUUUUGACCUUUCUUAUGAUGUAAAUUUUUACAAUAAAGGAUAAUGAUGAUGCUAUUGGAAACCCAAGUUGGAUUUCAUGGUAUCAAUUAAAAUAUCACAAUUUCACAA